UACGGGGGGGGCAAGCGUUGUUCGGAAUUACUGGGCGUAAAGGGCUCGUAGGCGGCCAACUAAGUCAGACGUGAAAUCCCUCAGCUUAACUGGGGAACUGCGUCUGAUACUGGAUGGCUUGGAUUCGGGAGAGGAAUGCGGAAUUCCAGGUGUAGCGGUGAAAUGCGUAGAUAUCUGCAGGAACACCCGUGGCGAAAGCGGCGCGCUGGACCACUACUGACGCUGAGGCACGAAAGCGUGGGGAGCAAACAGG
rnacentral:rRNA from 1 species